GUGAACAAAAAUUCCUGCUAUGCUGGAAACAUAACAGCAAUGGAGGUGAUGCUUCAAAAAGCCUCAUGGUCAGACUGUCAGCUCAAAGGGAACGACCCGAGCCCUUCAAGUGCUGACCCGGGCCCUUCAAGUCCCGUCCCUGGCCCUUCAAGUGCCGACCCUGGCCCUUCAAGUGCCGACCCGGGCCCUGCAAGGAGGUUUAGGAAGUACAUGGACCUUUGCACUAGAAGCACUGGAGUUAAGUUUAUAAAUGUAGAAGAGAGACAGGAGCCCCAUGUAAUUUUUCCAGGAAGACAAAAAUGUUUGAAUAGUUCAGAACCAGUUCCUGUAAACUUGCCAAUAUUUAUACAUGGUACAGGAAGAUGUGAAAAUGCAAUGCCUGAAGGUUUCCAACCCUUAGAUGUAGAUUAUCGGGAAGACGAGUCAACGGAUUUAUGCACAGAAAGUGAUUCAGAAGAGGAGGGGAUGGUACAACGGAAGCUUGAACUAGAGUCGGCGGAUUCAAGGGUGGAUGUUUGUGAAGAAACACAGGCCUCAGAACUGCAGGAUCACACACAAAGAGAACCAAAAAAUGAUGAACUUAUAACUAUUAUACCAGAAACACGAGAUUUGGGCAAUGUAGAAAACUUGGAGGAUGCAAGUGAAUCGGGGGAAAGUACAAGUAUUGAAGAAUAUGCCUCGCCCUUGAAAGAUGACAACACUGAGGCUCCCAUACAAAAAGACUCUUCAGAUGUAGAUAGUAGCCCUGAAGAAAGGCAAAUUUCAUAUAUGGCAACUGGCCAGUCCAAAACCAAGCAUAGAUCAGUUAAAUACCCUAAAAGAGCCUUACAUGAACAGUAUUCAACAUCACCAGAAGAAAAAAAUCGCCAGCCACGAAAACGGUUCCAACCAUUGAAAAAUAAGAAAAGAUCAAGAUUUGCUUGUGACAUGAGCUCACCGCAAAGUAAAAUAGUGAUCCAAAGGUCAAUAUCAACAAAUCCUGAUGGGAAUCAUGUCCUUCAAGGAGCCUCAAGUGUGAAGCCUACCAGAACUACAAAGAGUGAAGAGGAGUACUGUCUUCCCACAGUUGGAAGUAAACUAGGAGAUCAAAAAAGAAAUGAAAAAUCCCCAAGAAAAAUCAAGCCAUAUAAACCUUAUACUCGUUUCGAGGAUGAGGUGAUAUUAAAGUGGAUUGAUAAACAUCGGCUGCACACAGCUGUGGGUGGCCUGUUAAUGUGGCGCACCAUGCAGAAUGCAGGUGUUUUACAAAAUCGUACCAUGUACGGAUUAAAAGAGCGCUUUCAAAAGCGUAUUCUUCCGCGCAUCGACACUUACGGCCUCUCGGAGGAGGCCGUGAAAAGGUUUAAAGGGCACAGAAAAGCCAGGUAAAUUAAGAUCGGAAGCACUUCCCAUGACUUACACUAAGAGAGAUUAAGAAAUUGAAAGUCAAAAUGAGGAAAAAAUUAAAAGGAAAAAUAAAGAUGGAGAGAAACGGUCUAGGGACAAUUACUGUAAGCCAUCUAGAACUGAUCAUAUCCAAUCACCACAAGGAAACCUAAAAAGAUAUGUGGCAAAGAGAAAGUUGUUUAAGUUUGGUGAAGUGGCAAAACUUACUCCACAAGCUCUCUUCGUUAGGAAUGGAGUUGGAAGUGCCAUCAUACAACAUAAAUUCUUGAGUAGAAGAAUCAAUUCAAGUUCUGAAGAGGAACAAAAGAAAUGCACUUCAGAUGAGGCUAGUGCAAGGAGCCCUCAUAGACCACAAGAACAGAGCCCUCAUAGUCCACAAGAACAUAACUCUGGAGAAAAUAUUGAUAUAACUGUUAUUGAAAGGUCACACAUGAGUGAUGGGGAAGGAAGUGGUGUGGAUUAUUCUAGAAAUCAGCCAGUAGCCAACAAGAGCCUCUCAGAUUUAGAAGAUGAUAUUUCUAGUACAAAAAUUAAUGACAGAUCCAUGUCUCCAGUCACUUUCAAUUGGUGCUAUGUGGUGAAGAAUCAAUGAUGAUUAUGGGGUGUACCUUUGGUGGUCCACCUGACAUGGGUAUGUGUGUGAGGCCAGUGUGUUCUUGUUAUUUUUCUGAGUGGUGGUGUUGUUGGUCUAAUUUUUCAUCUUAUUUUUGUUAUUAUU
rnacentral:misc_RNA from 1 species